rnacentral:rRNA from 1 species
GUGGGGUAACGGCCCACCAAGGCUAAGAUGGCUAGCGGGUGUGAGAGCACGACCCGCGCCACUGGCACUGAGACACUGGCCAGACACCUACGGGUGGCUGCAGUCGAGGAUCUUCGUCAAUGGGCGAAAGCCUGAACGAGCGACGCCGCGUGCGCGAUGAAGGCCUUCGGGUUGUAAAGCGCGAAAGUGGGGACGAAAGCCGAAAGGUUUGACCGAUCCACAGUAAGCUCGGGCUAAGUUCGUGCCAGCAGCCGCGGUAAGACGAACCGAGCGAACGUUAUUCGGAAUCACUGGGCUUAAAGGGCGCGUAGGCGGGCAUUCAAGUCUGUGUUGAAAUCCGGCAGCUCAACUGUCGAACUGGCAUGGAUACUGGGUGUCUCGAGGGAGGUAGGGGCGUGCGGAACUAUUGGUGGAGCGGUGAAAUGCGUUGAUAUCAAUAGGAACUCCGGUGGCGAAGGCGGCACGCUGGACCUCUUCUGACGCUGAGGCGCGAAAGCCAGGGGAGCAAACGGGAUUAGAUACCCCGGUAGUCCUGGCCCUAAACGUUGGGUACUAGAUAGUAGGCUUCACAUGGGUUUACUGUCGAAGCAAAAGUGCUAAGUACCCCGCCUGGGGAGUAUGGUCGCAAGGCUGAAACUAAAGGAA